CGGAUAGUAGCGCAGGGGCUAGCGCGCUUGCUUCGGGAGUAAGAUGUCGGCGGUUCGAAUCCGCCCUGUCCGA
rnacentral:tRNA from 1 species